AGGGGGUAGCAGGGGAGUGGUUCUCUGCCUGCGCCUGAUGGAACCUAGGCUCGGUGUGUGGUCCCUGCGUCCUUAAGACGUUUUUUAAUUCUUUCCGCCUUGAUAAUUAGAACGUGGACUCUAUUAUUUUUGCUUUCUCAGUAAAUCUCUUUCAAAGCAAAAAUAAACCUCAUGUCACCCUAACUAAAAACUUAGGUUGUAAUUGUAAGAAGGGGGGAGAAACAGGGUUAGAAGUUGCCGCUAGGUUUUCCUUUUCCUUCUGGCAUUGCUGGAAAGGUAAGGGCUACCGUUUCUGGCAGCUGCGAUUGAUGGGCAACCAUUUUUAAUUGUGCUCGGCUAGUUUUGUUCCCCCUCCUUAACCGUUUCCAUAAGUUAAAUGCAUGUUUUGGGGGGAUUUUUCCCUCCGAUUUUUCUUCCAUUCAGCUUCUCAGUGUCUGGGAGAGGGUCCGGUGGAUGUUAGUUUUUGUUUUUUUUUUUAAUUGAAAUACAGUGAUAAAAACGCUCAAGGUGUUUGACAUUUCUGUCAGCAUUAUAGCCUCUGUGUAUAGUCCUUAAGAGUUGGAUCUGUAAAUCCCAGAGUGCCUUUUAAAGAGGAAAUAAUCCAGGGAGUCAUUAGAGAGAAAAUGCUAUUGAAAUAUUUGAAGAAACUCUCUGCCCUGCCCAUUACCGUAGACAUUCUUGCGGAGACUGGAGUUGGGAAAACGGUGAACAGCUUGCGAAAACACGAGCACGUCGGAAACUU
rnacentral:lncRNA from 1 species